CUCCAGCUUCCAUCUAGUGCAUUUAAAGAGACACAUUUUAAUCGAUCCUUGCCCUCUUAGUGGCCAUUUGUUGUAUUUUCUCAUUUGUUUAUUUCUGUCAUAAAACUAAACAGUAAAACGACUCCUUUAAUUUCCUUUCAACUGGCAAGACACAACAUUUUAUUGUUCAUGUAAUGAAAUGCAGCGCCCUGCUUGUUUCUUACCAUUGAAUUGUGCAUGUACUGUAUAUGUCUUUGUGCAGCUGUAAUGUGCUAGUGAAAAUAACUCUCAUAUGCAUGUGAAUGACUGGUCUGUUGACAGGAGGCAGAGGAGACGCUCUUUGUCCGUCGCCAGAGGCUCCAGUCAGUUGGAGGAUUCUCUCUGCUGCUGCUCCACUGUCUGUCCCAUAUCACAGUCAAAGACAUAAUCUCUGACUCCAGUCCUGCCUUCCAGAGGCUUUUCUUCAAGAUACUGCAGGCAUGUCUAGGGGAGCUGUUUCAGGCCAGACUGGACGUGCCCCCCUCUGCACAGGAAGCCAAUUUGUGUGUAUGGUUUCAAGACAGUGAGGCCCCUUCAGGGGACUUGAGGGGGACACUGUCAGACUCUUAUGCUGCCUCUCUGCUUCACAGGCUUCACAAACCAAGCAGAGCAUUGCUGUCUGAAGAUGAAGUUGACGAACUUCAAAGGAAACACAGAGAAACCUCUCUGUUCUCACAUCUUGAAGGAAUUUUGAGAAAGGAGAGCUCUGAAGCCACAGAGAAAGGCAAAGACCAGAUUGGGUAAACAUAUGUGGAGUCAUUUUCCCCUCGAUUUUAGUGCAAGUGAUUUUGCAUACCAAUUUUUUUUUUGGUCAUCUUUUCCUUAUCACUGAACAUUAUUCAUGAAAUGAUUAAACUCUUAAAAUCACUGAUCACAAA